rnacentral:lncRNA from 1 species
UGGCAGCCUGAUGAAUCACCUGUAAUUACACUUUUUUGCCAGAUGCCCUGAGCCACUUUAGACAGCCAUGCUUUAUUGCAGUCACACAAUCAUAGGAUCAUUCUGAUUGGAAAAGGUUUCUAAAAUCACCCAGACCAGCCAUCGAUCCAUCACCACCACAUUACUAACCAUGUCCCUCAGUACUACAUCUCCACAGUUCUCAAGCACCUUUAGUUGUGGUCAGUCCCCUACAUCCACGGGCAGCCUAUGACACUGCAAUACCACCCUUUCUGAGAAGAAAUUUUUGCUAAUAUCCACAGGUGAGUCAACCAGGUGAGUCCCUGGGCUCACAGGGGAGUGUGUGCAUAACCUGUCAAUAGUCUUUAAUGGAAUUUGGGGAUAGAUUAAAUUUUUAUUGCAGUACACUUACAUUGGGCCCCAUUCAAUUACAGGGACACUAAUGGUUUAGGACAACAAGCAAUUUUCCUUCCCAUUUUAAGACUGAUGGAGCAUAGAAAGGCAUGAGUUGAUUAAAAUCAGCUGGGCUUCACUUGAAAUUCAAAGCUGUGGUUGCAGGAUGCCUACAGAUGAUGGCACGCCUUGAGGAUUUCCUUGCACAGACUUCAUCUUUGCAUCUAGUGGGAUGUUACCAGUCUGGAGAUGUUCACAUCACUGGAGUUCUUUUGGAAUGCUCUAAGAAAUUUCAAUAAGGAAUUGCUCAUUCUGCAUCUUUGACUGCCAGACAGCCUAUCCUACUUUUCCCCAUUUUGCUGUUAUCUAUAAGGUAAGUAGUUAUUCUGGAUUUGAUCUUUUGUUAAUGGCCAAGUCCUUCAUUCUUGCAGUGCUGGGACUUGCAAGUAAAGACCAGAGGACAGUCAGUCUUUGUAACUGGCAUUGCCAGGGCUGUAGCAGCAUCUGUGACAUGGAGAUACAGUAACCUUAUGCCAGUCCUCACUGGCUUCCCAUCUCCUAGGCAAUGGUCAUAAAAUCAUAGAAUAAUCAAGGCUGGAAAAGAAUAUUAUGAUCAUCUAUUCCAACCCAUCACCACCAUGAUGACUCCCAGGUGAGUAAUUGGUGCCUCAUUACAGGGAAGAUCUCACUGCCUUCCUGGAAGAGGGCAAUUUUACCAC